rnacentral:rRNA from 1 species
UAUGAGUUGAAGCAAAGCAAGAAGAAGUUGAGGUUUGAAAUUGAGUCAAAAGAGUUUGCUGAGAAGGAGAAGCAGAGGAGAUCUGGAGAUGGUGCCAAGGGUGGUAAAUUUGGCAAGGUGAAGAAGAGGUUGAGUACUGUUGCUGAGGAAGGUGGUACACCUCGGCGGAGUCCACGUGUUGCUGGAAUGAAGAAGAAUCUUGGCAAGAGAACCGUUGAAGCUGGUGGUAGUGAUGAUCCUCAGCGCAAACGACUACAUGUCACUGAAGGUCCCAAUUCUGAUGACGGCGACUUUGUGCUUGCUGAUUAUGUGAAGGGUCUUCAUCCUUCUAGACGCAAAGAUUGUGGUUCAUCU